GCUCGUAGUCGGAUUUCGGGUCGGUUGCGCCGGUCUGCCGAUGGGUAUGCACUGGCGGAGUCGUCCUUUCUUCCGGAGACCGGGCCUCCUCUUAGCUGAGCGGGUUCGGGAGACGGAUCGUUUACUUUGAAAAAAUCAGAGUGUUUCAAGCAGGCAGCUCGCUCUUGCAUGGAUUAGCAUGGGAUAAUGAAAUAGGACUCUGGUGCUAUUUUGUUGGUUUCGAACACCGGAGUAAUGGUCAACAGGGACAGUCAGGGGCACUCGUAUUCCGCCGAGAGAGGUGAAAUUCUCAGACCAGCGGAAGACGAACCACUGCGAAAGCAUUUGCCAGGGAUGUUUUCACUGAUCAAGAACGAAAGUUAGGGGAUCGAAGACGAUCAGAUACCGUCGUAGUCUUAACCAUAAACCAUGCCGACUAGGGAUUGGAGGCUGUUCCUUUUGUGACUCCUUCAGCACCUUUCGGGAAACUAAAGUCUUUGGGUUCCGGGGGGAGUAUGGUCGCAAGGCUGAAACUUAAAGGAAUUGACGGAAGGGCACCACCAGGAGUGGAGCCUGCGGCUUAAUUUGACUCAACACGGGGAAACUUACCAGGUCCAGACAUUGUGAGGAUUGACAGAUUGAGAGCUCUUUCUUGAUUCGAUGGGUGGUGGUGCAUGGCCG
rnacentral:rRNA from 1 species